UACGAGCGGUAGCACAGAGAGCUUGCUCUCGGGUGACGAGCGGCGGACGGGUGAGUAAUGUCUGGGAAACUGCCUGAUGGAGGGGGAUAACUACUGGAAACGGUAGCUAAUACCGCAUAAUGUCGCAAGACCAAAGUGGGGGACCUUCGGGCCUCAUGCCAUCAGAUGUGCCCAGAUGGGAUUAGCUAGUAGGUGGGGUAACGGCUCACCUAGGCGACGAUCCCUAGCUGGUCUGAGAGGAUGACCAGCCACACUGGAACUGAGACACGGUCCAGACUCCUACGGGAGGCAGCAGUGGGGAAUAUUGCACAAUGGGCGCAAGCCUGAUGCAGCCAUGCCGCGUGUGUGAAGAAGGCCUUCGGGUUGUAAAGCACUUUCAGCGGGGAGGAAGGCGUUGAGGUUAAUAACCUUGUCGAUUAUCGUUACCCGCAGAAGAAGCACCGGCUAACUCCGUGCCAGCAGCCGCGGUAAUACGGAGGGUGCAUGCACUAAUGCAUGAAUUACUGGGCGUAAAGCGCACGCAGGCGGUCUGUCAAGUCGGAUGUGAAAUCCCCGGGCUCAACCUGGGAACUGCAUUCGAAACUGGCAGGCUAGAGUCUUGUAGAGGGGGGUAGAAUUCCAGGUGUAGCGGUGAAAUGCGUAGAGAUCUGGAGGAAUACCGGUGGCGAAGGCGGCCCCCUGGACAAAGACUGACGCUCAGGUGCGAAAGCGUGGGGAGCAAACAGGAUUAGAUACCCUGGUAGUCCACGCCGUAAACGAUGUCGAUUUGGAGGUUGUGCCCUUGAGGCGUGGCUUCCGGAGCUAACGCGUUAAAUCGACCGCCUGGGGAGUACGGCCGCAAGGUUAAAACUCAAAUGAAUUGACGGGGGCCCGCACAAGCGGUGGAGCAUGUGGUUUAAUUCGAUGCAACGCGAAGAACCUUACCUGGUCUUCUCAUCCACAGAACUUUCCAGAGAUGGAUUGGUGCCUUCGGGAACUGUGAGACAGGUGCUGCAUGGCUGUCGUCAGCUCGUGUUGUGAAAUGUUGGGUUAAGUCCCGCAACGAGCGCAACCCUUAUCCUUUGUUGCCAGCGGUUCGGCCGGGAACUCAAAGGAGACUGCCAGUGGAAAACUGGAGGAAGGUGGGGAUGACGUCAAGUCAUCAUGGCCCUUACGACCAGGGCUACACACGUGCUACAAUGGCAUAUACAAAGAGAAGCGACCUCGCGAGAGCAAGCGGACCUCAUAAAGUAUGUGGAUAGUCCGGAUUGGAGUCUGCAACUCGACUCCAUGAAGUCGGAAUCGCUAGUAAUCGUAGAUCAGAAUGCUACGGUGAAUACGUUCCCGGGCCUUGUACACACCGCCCGUCACACCAUGGGAGUGGGUUGCAAAAGAAGUAGGUAGCUUAACCUUCCCGA
rnacentral:rRNA from 1 species